rnacentral:rRNA from 1 species
UACGUAGGGGGCGAGCGUUGUCCGGAGUUACUGGGCGUAAAGGGCAUGCAGGCGGUCGGACGCGUUUCGGGUGACAGCGGGUGGCUUAACUACCCGAGUGGUCGAAAGACGGUUUGACUUGAGGACGCGAGAGGGACACGGAAUUCCGGGUGGAGUGGUGAAAUGCGCAGAUAUCAGGAGGAACACCGAUGGCGAAGGCAGGUCUCUGGGCCAUAACUGACGCUGAGAAGCGAAAGCAUGGGGAGCGAACAGG